AGAGCGAACGCUGGCGGCAGGCUUAACACAUGCAAGUCGAACGGAUCCUUCGGGAUUAGUGGCGGACGGGUGAGUAACACGUGGGAACGUGCCUUUAGGUUCGGAACAACACAGGGAAACUUGUGCUAAUACCGGAUGUGCCCUUCGGGGGAAAGAUUUAUCGCCUUUAGAGCGGCCCGCGUCUGAUUAGCUUGUUGGUGAGGUAAAGGCUCACCAAGGCUACGAUCAGUAGCUGGUCUGAGAGGAUGGCCAGCCACAUUGGGACUGAGACACGGCCCAAACUCCUACGGGAGGCAGCAGUGGGGAAUCUGCGCAAUGGGGGAAACCCUGACGCAGCCAUGCCGCGUGGAUGGAUGAAGGUCUUAGGAUUGUAAAAUCCUUUCAGCGGGGACAUAAUGACGGUACCCGCAGAGAGCCCGGCUAACUCGUGCCAGCAGCCGC
rnacentral:rRNA from 1 species